rnacentral:lncRNA from 1 species
CGGGGCUUCAUCCUCCAUAUCAGGUGACAGUGCCCUGACCCCAGGCCUGGCUCCCUCCUUCUCUGCAGGUGAUAGCACCCUGACCCCCAGCUCUGGGCUCCUGUCUCUCCAUAGGAGGAAGCCUUAAUUUUAGCACCAAGUUUAAAGACCCAGCACCUGCACAUCAUGUCAACGGCCCUCCCCUCUGUCCCUGGAGCCCUGCUCCCCGACUCCCUGGGCCUCACUGUAUCCUGUGCAUUCUCUGUGGCUGUGGCAUUGCUUCCUGGGUGAGGCCGUUCAUCACUCCCUGAAGCUCAGGUGGCCAGAGGCAGGCUCUGAUGCAGGUCUCUCCUUCACCUGGUCUAGCUCCUGCAGGCAUGAAGGAAUCCCUGUGCAAUGGGACCCCCCGAUCCUAUUGCUCCUGCAAAUUGCUGUCUUGGCAUUUGGGGUCAGAUAUCUGCCCUCACGGAAGCUGACUGUUAACCGCAGGCCUCAGCUUCAGACCAAGAAGGAAAUGAAGCCAGCCAAGGGGUGUGUCUGCCUCUUCAGUGGGUGUCCCAGCCAGGGAUUUCCAUGAGUCCCCUUGUCCUCAUAUGGCCUGCUGCCUGUGCCUGGCCUUGUCUCGGAUCUGACUUGUUUCCACCCCAUCCCUUGUUUCCCCAUCCAGUGCAAAGCAUCUGUGCGACUUGGUGUCUUUGACCUGGUGCUACACCUUAUGGAAGCUGGGGAGAGACCAAAACCAGAUGCAGAGCCUCCCAGUCCGGGCUGGAGCCUGGGAAUGCAGGAAGGUCUCUGGACUUCUCCAUCUCAAUUGGUCACUUAGGAAGCAUACAAAGAACAGGACCACACAGGUACACACAUGGCCACACACACAGAGCUCACCACAUGCUCGCAUACACACACGCGCACACACACACACUCCAACACACGCACACACAUCCCCAUAUGCACACAUACACACGUGCAUGCAUGUACACAUGCACACAUGACACGCAUAGACAUACACACAUGUGCGCGUGCACACACACACACACACACACGAAGCUGGCCUUUCUGGCAAACAUCAGCUGUCUCAUGGGGAAAGCAGCUGCCAUGGGGAUGGGAGGGCCUGGCUGGGGAAGAUGUUGGCCACGGGCGGGAGUCUCUCUCAGCUGUGAGAAAGUUCCCUCCUCUGAGUUGCUCUAAAGUUAGGAAUAGAGCCUGCUCCUUCCCUUUGACAGAUGUCCUGAGGUCAGUGCUAAGGUUGUUCAAGGAAAAUAAGGAACGACAGGGCAGAAACGUCAAGGGAGGAAGGAAAGGAAGAAAGGGCGGAUCUGAAGGAAGCCCUGCCUGCAAGAUGCCAGGGGUAACACCUUGCUCCACAGGGCCAGACCCGAGGGUUUCUGAGCCGUGACUCUGGCUAAGCCCUUCACUGCUCUGGGCUGCAAAAGGAGGAUCACAGCACCUCCCGUGGGUGGGCAGGAUUACUUAAGAUGACGCAGGACAGCGCCCAGAGCAGCUUGGUGCUCCGGGAACGCCUUCCGCGGAAUGAAGCGGCCCAUGCCCUUGUUGACGUUGAUGUUUCCGUCUUCAAAGACGAUCUUGCCCUGGCUGAUGACCACUAGUGGGGAGCCGUGGCACUCCAUACCCUCGAAGAUGUUGUACUCCACCGCCUGCACCAACAGCCUCAGUGUUACUUCCCAGGAUUUGCUCUGCCCCAAACGAGCUGUUCAUAACAGCGAUUUUGCCUAACAUUAUAUCAUAAGCGUGUUCCAAUGUUUUUUUUUCUCUCUAAAAAUACCUUUUAUUGACUGUAAUAUUCCACUGUAUGGUCCACAGUGUAUAUAACCAACAACUCACCGUUGCGCAUGUAGGCUGCCGGUGGCUUUCUAUAAUCAAAUCAAUAUUGUUCUGGGGCAUCACAAAGAGGAAGGGGGUCCCCCGGGGUUAUGCAAUGUGGCUGCUUUGACUGUACUGGACAUAAAAAUAAGUAAAAUGUUCUUCAUUUUACUUAAAAUGUGUCUUUAAAUAAAAUUUUUUUCUCUAGGUUUCUAAAAUCAAAUUACUGGGUGAAAGAAUAGAGCUGUUUUAAAGCACGUGUGCCAUAUGGCCAAAUUAUUUUCCCAAGGGUUCAGAUCAAUUGACACGAUAUCGGCACUUACCCCCUCCAGCAUUGGGUAAUGCCAUUUUUUUCUUUCUCUGCUAAUUUGAAAGACAAAAUAACAUUUCCUUUAAAACACACAUUCGGCCGGGCACGGUGGCUCAUGCCUGUACCCCCAACUACUCGGGAGGCUGAGGUAUGAGAACUGCUUGAAUCUGGGAGGUGGAGGUUGCAGUGAGCCGAGAUCGUGCCACUGCACUCCAGCCUGGGGGACAGAGCGAGACUCUGUCUCCAGAAAAAAACAAAACAAAAAACUCA